rnacentral:pre_miRNA from 1 species
CCUGUUCUUGCUGUGGAGCCAGGAGAUGAUGAUUGGGUGGCUGCGUGCUUUCUGCAGGUCCACCACAUUCUGGCCCAGCAGCAUUAUCACGUUGU